GAAAUGCGAUAAGUAAUGUGAAUUGCAGAAUUCAGUGAAUCAUCGAGUUUUUGAACGCAUCUUUCACCUCUUGGUAUUCCGAGAGGUACACCUGUUUGAGUGUCAUUUACUUCUCCACUCUUAAAAGUGUUUGUUCACUAUUAAGGGAUGGGCUAUUGGGGGUUUGUAUGCAGGUUUUAACUGUCGUUAAUCUGCUCCCCUUGAAUACAUUAGCAAAGUUUGUUACUAUGUGCAAAUAUGGUGUGUUAGUUGCUAAAACCUCACCCUUCUGGCACUAUAGUACUUAACUGCUUCUAAUGGUGUGUCUUUCACACAAUUGCUUUGAAACCUUGACCUCAAAUCAGGUGGGACUACCCGCUGAACUUAA
rnacentral:misc_RNA from 1 species